CGGUGACCGCCGGCUGGUGCGUUGCCCUCGCCUCCCCCAUUGUUCCUACUGUCUUUUUGCCUUUUGUUAUUUGCACUCGCAUUGUGUUGUUUGUCUCUGAAGCCGCCUCAUGACCAGCAAAGGGAUUUCACCUCGUCCUUGAGAGCAACACGGGGAGCGCGAGCGAGCGGGCGAGCGAGAGACGCGGGGGGGGAGAGAGAGGGACACGCGCGCGCACACACACACACACCGGCACACACGCACACACACAGACAUACACACACAGAGUGAAAAAGGCGAGCCACCAAAACCCAUCUCCAGUCUCCUCCCGGGGGCCCCCAGCCCGCCUCUGUGCCACUUUGCAUCCCACGCCGGAGGAGGCAUUAACGAGACCGGGCUUUUUAACCGGUCCAAGGUAUAGAGACACACUUCAGGAGGAUCCUCAGAAGUCUCGGACAAGCCUCCCCAAAUGCGGCAGGUGGGUCUCUCGUCUGUGGGUGAGAGAAAUGUAACUUUCUUUAUUCUCCAUAGCUAACCUGAAAUUAAAUGCCAUUCGGACCCUCUGCUUAACCAUGAUAGCAGCCUGAGGUUGCCCUGACAUUCUGGAUGAGGUUAUGAGAUGCCAGGUUCUUGAGAAGUGGAUUCCAGUUCCUUAGCUGUCAUUUCUC
rnacentral:lncRNA from 1 species